rnacentral:pre_miRNA from 1 species
GGGGAGGCCGGAUCUUGGGCUGUGUCCCGGCGCCCGGUGCUCGGGGCCUGCGCUGUUGGAUUCACGCUCCUGCCCCGCAGCCCCCU